AUAAGGGAAUUCACGAAGUCAAAUAUAUACUCCGUAUAUUUCGUAUAUUUCUGAAUAUCCCGUAUAUCUUAUAACUCUGUAUAAGUUUGACAACUGCCACCUUGAAGAAAUUGAUAUUUUUUACGCUACCAAUUUAGAUCAAACA